GUGGGGAAUAUUGGACAAUGGGCGAAAGCCUGAUCCAGCCAUGCCGCGUGAGUGAUGAAGGCCUUAGGGUUGUAAAGCUCUUUCAGUAGGGAAGAUAAUGACGGUACCUACAGAAGAAGCCCCGGCUAACUUCGUUCCAGCAGCCGCGGUAAUACGAAGGGGGCUAGCGCUGUUCGGAAUUACUGGGCGUAAAGCGCACGUAGGCGGACAUUUAAGUCAGGGGUGAAAUCCAGGGGCUCAACCCCGGAACUGCCUUUGAUACUGGGUGUAUGGAGUAUGGAAGAGGUAAGUGGAAUUCCGAGUGUAGAGGUGAAAGUCGUAGAUAUUCGGAGGAACACCAGUGGCGAAGGCGGCUUACUGGUCCAUUACUGACGCUGAGGUGCGAAAGCGUGGGGAGCAAACAGGAUUAGAAGCCCUGGUAGUCC
rnacentral:rRNA from 1 species